AAGAAAAUUAACCCAUAAUCAUGAUAAGGAGUCACUGUAAAGGUUACUUCUCUCAGUUUAAUGCUCUUUCAAAAUCCUCUUAUGAGUCUCAAAAUUCCUUUGUUCUAUGUACAAAAAAAGGAGACAUACAAGGAAAUAUUUGGUAGAUGAGAAUUUGAAGGCUGAAGCUGAGAGAAUGUAAUUGAACAUAAUUUAUUUUAUUUCAACAUAUUUUCUCAAAAAGAA
rnacentral:misc_RNA from 1 species